rfam:Cavia porcellus supercont2_2 genomic scaffold, whole genome shotgun sequence.
GGGGAUUUAGCUCAGUGGCAUAAGCUCCUGCCUGGCAAGCAGGAGGUUGUAAGUCUGAUUCUUGGUACCCCCU